rnacentral:tRNA from 1 species
GGGGAUAUAGCUCAGUUGGUGAGUGCUUGCCUAGCAUGCACAAAGCUCUGGGUUCAAUCCCUGGUACCACCA